rnacentral:rRNA from 1 species
GCCCUUAGACUGCAGUGCCAGCAGCCGCGGUAAUACGGAGGGUCCAAGCGUUAUCCGGAUUUAUUAGGUUUAAAGGGUCCGCAGGCGGGAUUUUAAGUCAGUGGUGAAAGCCUACAGCUCAACUGUAGAACUGCCAUUGAUACUGUUAUCCUUGAGUGUGGUUGAAGUGGGCGGAACAUGUCAUGUAGCGGUGAAAUGCAUAGAUAUGACAUAGAACACCAAUUGCGAAGGCAGCUCACUAAGCCAUUACUGACGCUGAGGGACGAAAGCGUGGGGAGCGAACAGGAUUAGAUACCCUGGUAGUCCACGCCGUAAACGAUGAUCACUCGUUGCUAGCAAUACACAGUUAGUGACCAAGCGAAAGUGUUAAGUGAUCCACCUGGGAAGUACGUUCGCAAGAAUGAAACUCAAAGGAAUUGACGGGGGCCCGCACAAGCGGUGGAGCAUGUGGUUUAAUUCGAUGAUACGCGAGGAACCUUACCAGGGCUUAAAUGCAUAAUGACAGAUUGGGAAACCAGUCCUUCUUCGGACAUUUUGCAAGGUGCUGCAUGGUUGUCGUCAGCUCGUGCCGUGAGGUGUCAGGUUAAGUCCUAUAACGAGCGCAACCCCUAUUAUUAGUUGCCAGCGGGUAAUGCCGGGAACUCUAAUGAGACUGCCAGUGCAAGCUGCGAGGGAAAGGUGGGGAUGACGUCAAAUCAUCACGGCCCUUACGUCCUGGCUACCCACGUUGCUACAAUGUUGGGACAAUGGGCAGCCACUACGCGAGUAGGAGCUAUCCUUAACCCAAUCUCAGUUCGAUCGAGUCUGCACUCGACUCUGUGAGCUGAUCGCUAGUAUCAGAUAUCAGCAUGAUCUGUGAAUACGUUCCGGGCUUGUACCACCGCCCGUCAGCAUGAGCUGGGAUGCUGAGUCGUACCAAAGAACUGCCUAGGUAACAAGAACUGGGACUAUUCGUACAGUUACCGGGGGCCCCCGACCAGGGGAUUGGAUAACUCCUUGGGGGGGCCGAAGGUCUAAGGCCAUCCCCUAAAGGGGCUAUAUUCUGGGGCCGUUACAGCGAUGACUGGUAAAUUAUCUUGAACCCUCCACGUGUCAGGC